rnacentral:other from 23 species
GUUUCAACUAUCUUUUGAUUUCGGC